rnacentral:misc_RNA from 1 species
UUUUACUAAAUUUCACUCAAAGAUAUCGGCAUGCGUAGUAUUCUGGUGGCAGAGUAUUUUGCCUUCGUUGUUGGACCUGCUCUGGGACUUUCGUUGAAUGACCUCUAUCCAUUCGGUGACCAAGCCGGAGAUACUGCUAUGAACAAAAAUGACGACGGUAGCUCGCCAGAUAUACCCAUAUCAACUCUUUUCCCCUUUUUUAACCACCAACAUACCAAGCUAAUAGUGAACACAAACGGAGUUAUUUCUUUUCUACGACCUGUAGGAACAUACACCCCAAAUCCAUUUCCUAUUGCCAACGAUGCCAGAAUGAUAGCUCCAUUUUGGGCAGACAUUGAUACAACACGAGGUGGGACAGUGUGGUACAGAGAGACUACUAAUGAUACUAUGCUAGACAGAGCCACAGACGAAGUGCGAGCUUACUUUCCCGAUUUUUUUAGAUUCAGGGCAUCAUGGGUAUUUAUCGCCACAUGGGAUCGGGUUGCGUUUUUUGGUUGUAGUGGUGGAGGAUGCUCUAAGAACAACACGUUUCAAGCAGUCUUGAUCACAAACGGCCAGCAUUCCUUCACAAUAUACAACUAUGAAGACAUACAAUGGACAACUGGAACAGCAAGUAGAGGAAACAGUACCACUGGGUUAGGGGGAACCCCCGCUCAGGUUGGAUUCAACGCUGGGGAUGGAAUCGUAUCUUUUACAGUCAACGCUUCACGCAGUCCUGAUAUUGUUAAUGUGGAUGAAGAUUCAAAUGUAGAUAUACCCGGAAAAUUCGCGUUUAGGAUUGAUGCAAGUGACAUCAGUGAUGGAGGAUGUAAUACGAAAGGAAGAUUGACAAUUACCCCUCGGUAUGGACCAAUGUUAGGGGGGCAGUACCUAGUCAUCAGUGGCCCAUGUAUCGAACCAGGAGCGACAAUUGAAUUGACUUUCCUUGGCCUUCCCGACAAGAAAAAUUGUGAAAGAAAAACAGAAUUCAGCAUGGCAUGUAUAACACCGAUGUUUCUAUACACAGGCGAUGCUAUCGUCCAGGUCGUCAUUGAAGAUCAGCAGGGAGAUAGAAAGACGUUUUUGGGGCGAUACACCAUCAUAAAUCCUGCCGACAGCAAACACCGAGCAUACAGACACAGCGCAUCUGAUUGGUUCUCAGGACGACAACAAAUCUCAUGGGACCCGGAUGUUGCAGAAUUAAAGGACGACGAGAAAGUUGACAUACACUUAUUCUAUCUAAAGGAGGAAGGUAAUCGUGGUUUAAAAUGGCAAAAAGAGAUUCUAAAACAAGGAGUGCAGCGUUUACUAGGAACGACAGAACUCUUCCUUCCAACGAGUGGUUACGCUUUGGCUGUGAGGGUCACAUCAUCACCGCAGAGAAAUGAUCAGUUUGAAAGAGGAAUUUGGUCAGAUAUAUUCCCUCUAGCUUUACGAUCCGACCAAGCCUACUCUUUAUGUAAAAACUGGUUGAAUACGGAAGUACAGUUGCCACCACUCCCAUCGGAUGAUGUUCAACCAUGUCCUUGUACGUUAGACCAAGCUCUCUUGGAUAUUGUGCGAUUCCAACCGGAUCCGGAUUGCAACAUAUUCAACAGAAACUCGCAAUUUUCCCGUACUGGAAACUGUCUACACAGACGAGAUGCAGCGCACUGUAUCCGAUUAACUGACUUGGGACAACAAAUGGACAACCUGUGUUGUUACGACUCAAGUAACAAUCUGAUUGAUUCAAGACUUAAAGAAGGCGGGUCCCUACAGCGAUACCACUACCUGGGAGGAUCCAGAAUUUACCCUUACCUCACCAACUUUUACUUUGAUGUUCUUCCUUUCCUCCACUGUUGUCGAUAUACUCGGAAUGGGUACAAUGUCGUCAGUGGUGGAAACAUCGUCGUUGCUGAAAACAUUUGUCCCCGUUUUUUUACGCAUAGGGAAUAUAGUUCCUGCGAAAACUAUGAACCACCGCGUCCUGCCAGGACGAACGGGGACCCCCAUAUCACCACCUUAGACGGAUACAGCUAUACAUUCAAUGGUGUUGGGGAAUUCGUGUACCUGAAAACCACGGACGGAACUUUUCAAAGUCAAAUCAGAUUUGAACAGUUUCGUAAGGAAAAUGGAGAUUUAGUGGAUGCAAGUGUAUGUACCGCCAUUUCAACUCAACACACCAAUACUUCCGGUGUUGUGGAAGUUCGUCUCAACUCCAUUCGAACAGCCGACAUCCUGGUUGAUGGAGAAAUUAUUGACUUCGAUGAAUCGAAUGCACACCAAUUUCCAGGAGCAUUCGUGCUGCAAAUUGCAUCAAAUGAUUCCAACAUUAAUUCAACGAAAAAAGAGUUCAUUGUGUCCUUCACUGAGAUUGGAAUAGCAUUUAAAGCGAUAGCAAGCUCCAAAGUUCUCAACAUUCUACCAAUAGUUGGAAAUAAAUCGUUAGCUGGGAGUUUAAGAGGUUUACUUGGAGAUUUUGAUGAAAAUCCAAAUAAUGAUUUGCAAACGGAUUCUGGAAGGAUUCUCUACCCAAACUCAUCUACCGAACAUAUUUUCGACGAUUUUGGAGUCUCAUGGAGGAUUACAGAAAACUCAUCCUUAUUUACUUAUGAACCUGGGAAGUCCUAUGAUGACUAUCAGCUACGGUCAUUUCGCCCAGCAUUUAGUGUGCCUACCAAUCUGCCACCGGAAGUUGUAGAUUUAUGCGGAACAGACCAAGAAUGUGCAUUUGAUUAUGCCGUUACAGAUUCCGCUGACUUAGCUGCGGAAACACUACAGAUUACUGUAAUAUUCAAUACUUCUGUUGAAGCUUCUUAUGAAAUAAAGAAUUGUGCCAACCUGCCAUCUGUUGUCGGGGGUGUUUGGAAUGCUUCAAGCACGCUGGAAGGUUCUAAUGCUACCUUUUCAUGCUACCCGGGUUAUGAGAUGGACGGCGAAAGUAACAUCGUGUCUUGUAGAAAUAAUUCUUGGGGCGACUUUGGAAAUUUUAGCUGCGUUCAAAUUAAUACCAGUUCUACGUUAGAAGUUACACCAACUUUAUUCACAACUGAAAAAGAAACAAGCAUCCCAACUACAUCCACUUUCAAAGAGAUCAUAACAACCACUACAAUGGAAGCCACAACAACAAUAGAGGACGACUUGACAACAACAGUGACAACGACAUCGGAAACGGAAGAAAUCUCAACAACUACUGAUAUACCGACAACAUCUACAUCACAAACUUCAACAACUAGUUUACCGACAACAUCUACGACACAAACAUCAACAACUAUUUACCGACAACUUCUACAACACAAACUUCAACAACUAGUAUACCGCCAACUUCUACAACACAAACAUCAACCAUGACAUCAACAAAGCAGUGGACAACUGCAGAAAUCUCAAAAUCAACUGAUCAACCAACAAUAUUCACAACAGAAAAAACAUCAACAACAACUUAUAAACCCACAGCUUUAACAACACAAUCAACAACAGCAAAACAAACAACAUCCACAACAGAGGAGACAACAACAACACCAAACCAACCUAAAUCUUCAACAAAAUCGACUACAACAACACAAACAAUAUCUACAACAGAAGACACCUCCACAGAACCAGCUCACCAAGCUACAACUUUGACAACGAAUGUAUCAACGGGAUCUGUCACUCAUCAAACAAGCACGUUAAAUAUAAAGGAAACUCUACGUCAAUUCGACGAACAAUUUAACAAAAUCCUUCCCUAUGUGAUAGGUGGCAUAGUUGUCAUUAUUGUCCUCUCUGUUGUAGUGGGAAUUCUUUUCUUAAGAAGAUCCGUUCAACUUAAAAAGAUGAAAAAUAUUCCAAGCGGAACUUAUACUCACACGGAUGGAUUUACAUUUUACAGCCAUGAAACUAAUAAAUGAUAAAACUCUUAUAAUAAUCAAUCAUAGAAACUAUUUUUCGUAUUUAAUGGUGAUGCUCUUUAAAUAUUUUUGUGAACAAAAAAAUAUACUUUAGUCCAAUUUUAACAUUUUAUCGUGCAAUCAGAAAUUAAAUUCUAUGUCAC